UUCAAGACGAGGCAUAAAAGGGAAUCAGGUGCGAGACCUGAGCAGUACCCGCUACUGUAAACUCCGUUGGUUCGGAAUGUUGUCAGGAAAAAAGCCACUGUGAAUCAAUUUCAUGGGAAGGCUGAACAUUCCGGGAGUGAGCCAGGAAACCUGCCGUCAUAAUU
rnacentral:ncRNA from 1 species